UACAGAGGUCCCAAGCGUUGUUCGGAUUCAUUGGGCGUAAAGGGUGCGUAGGCGGCGCGGUAAGUCGGGUGUGAAAUCUCGGGGCUUAACUCCGAAACUGCAUUCGAUACUGCCGUGCUUGAGGACUGGAGAGGAGACUGGAAUUUACGGUGUAGCGGUGAAAUGCGUAGAUAUCGUAAGGAAGACCAGUGGCGAAGGCGGGUCUCUGGAACGGUACUGACGCUGAGACGCGAAAGCGUGGGGAGCGAACAGG
rnacentral:rRNA from 1 species